UAUACAGCUUUCUCAAAAUAUUUUCUUGGAUUUCAAAUUUAAAUUUUCAUCAAUCCAUUUCUCUGGGUGGGGGGGGGUUGUCUUGUACGUUCGACCUGGUCUCUUAGGGUGGGGUGCUCUAUGGGGUCCAGGAGAGCUCAAGGUCUUUAAUCUCCUCAGAAGGCAGGUUAUCAACAAAUAUUCUAGAACUGUGCAAUUUUCAGGGCCUUUCAGAGAUGGCCUCUCCUAAAAGAAGAGACUCGUCUGCAUUUCUAAUUAAACAAUGUCACAGCAGUAGCGUAUAUAAAUUUUUAAGGGGGAACUCUCAGUUCCCUAGCAAUGAAAGAGGUCUUUCGAAUUCUAAAUUGGGCAGAAAACGAUCCCUCUAUAAUUUCUGCAAUUCAUAUCCUGGGUGUGAAAAAUUGGGAAGCAGAUUAUCUUAGUCACCAAUUCUUUCAGGUUAAUAAAACGAUCUCUACAUCUUGAAGUUUUCAAUCAGAUUGUAGAACGUUGGAGUUUCCCAGGAAUAGACCUGAUGGCUUCUCAUUUAAACAACAAGCUUCCAAGAUACUUUGCAAGAUCCAGGAAUCCACAGGCAAAGUUUGUAGAUGAUCUUGGUGCUCCUUAGGUAUUUUGUCUUGCUUAUAUUUUUCCACCAAUUGUUCUGCUGCCAAGAGUAAUAGCUUGGAUCAAGCAGGAGCUAUAAUCAGUAAUUCUGAUUGUUCCAGCUUUGCCACACAUAAUUUGGUUUGUGGAUAUGGUACAGAUGUCCAGCUUCCCCCUGUGGUCUCUUUGUCUACAUCACAGCCUUCUUUCUCAAGGAUAUGUCUUCCAUCAGUAUCUCAAAUCUCUCAACUUGGUUGUUUGGAGAUUAAAUGUCUAUUUUAUAAACAGAGGUUUUUCUGACGCUGUAGUUGAAACCUUAAUUCAGGGCUUAAAGCCAGUUUACAAGAAAAAUCUCUUACAAGAUAUAUAUUUUUUUUAUUAUUAUUAUUUUCUUUUCUGAUGUGCAAAAACAAGGUUUUAGCUGGCAUUCUUUUAGAAUUCUUCAAUUAUUACAAGAGCCCCUCGAUAAGGGUUUAUAUGCUAGCUCUAGGUUCAGAUUUCUGUUCUUUCUGUAUUAUACCACAAGAGCAUUGCUAAACUUCCUGGCAUUCAGAGCUUUGUUCAGGAUAAGACAAGUGUUUAAACCAAUUUCUUCUCCUUGAAACCUUAGUUUGGUUUUAAGACUUUUGCAGUUCUCCUUUUGAGCCUAUGCACAGUUUGGAUGUUCAGUUUUGUCUUGAAAGGUAUUGUUUUUUUUUAGUUAUUUCUUCUUCCAGAAAAGUUUUUGAAUUUUCUGCUCUUUCUUGUGAUCCUGCUUAUCUUGUUUUUAAACAAAAUAAGGCAGUUUUAAAAUACUACUUGUGAAUCAUUACCUCCUCCUAGUGGCCAGGAGAUUAAUCCCUGGAGUAAGGGCUUGUGGACUCUCACCACCAUAAAAUAAAUUAAUUUAUCAGGUAAGCAACACACCCCCCAUCCCCUUUUUAAGAGUAGUAUAUUUGUUGGUUGCUUUGUCAGUUUUUAGAAAUUCAUAUUUAAUUCUUUGAUUAGUGUUGACUUUACUGUGUAGUACAGAACUUGACUGCUUGUGUGUCCAGAGUGAGCUACGGAUGAGACAUGGAGUAAUAUCCUUGUUGUUGCUUUUUUUACUUUUUCAUACUUUUUUUACUUUUUUAUACUUUUUUUUUUUUUUUUUAAAUAUCAUGACUUCUAGGAAUACCUUCAUUUCCCUGGGGCUAUUAUGAAGAUUUUUGCUUACCUUUGGAGUUUAUUGUAUGUUUCUGAAUGACGUUGAUGUUUAAGGCUGUUUUGACAAUGUUGAGUUGGAAUAUACCAAAAGAUCUGCACUAGAAUUUUGCCUUGUCAGAUUAAUGUAUGACAUUUUCUCAUUAGUGUACCUUACAAACUACCAUAGUCCUUUGAAAGGACCCUAUACUCACAUUAGGGCUACAUUAAAAGUGGCACGCUAAAAUUAGCACAGGUCGCCACAAGUAAUAUCGUGACUGUGCUAACUUACACGCGUAUUACAAGCUGGAAGUAAACAGAAGUGAUUGAGCGAAAAAGUAAUUUGCGUUCUUCGGGUUAGCGUGACAGAAGACCUGAAGUGUAAGGAUUAACAAAAAAAAUUGCACCAAACACAACAUAAGUACAUUUAAAAUAAAUUGUUUGUGUGUGUAUAUGUGAGUAUGCAUAUGCACAAAGCAAACCAGUGAUGUUUCAGGGAUCUCACCCAUUCAUCAGACUAAGUGCAAUUGAUAGUGAAAACAAACAUAUUUUUAAUCAUGUGUAAACCCUAUCCCCAAUUAGAGAAGAACCGCCCAUUUACUAAUCAUCCAGUGAAAAAGUAUAUGGUAAGUAUCACACAAAUCUAUAUAUAAGGAAGGAUAAGUGCUCAUUAUAGAUGAAGUUUGGUUGACACAUGGUGUAUGAUGAGUGAUGAAACAAUCUGUUAUUAGCUAUGACUCUUUGCACUUAGUCUGAUGAAGAGGUAAGAUCCCCGAAACGUCACUGGUUUGUAUUGUGCAAAAUAAAGUAGGGCUGCAACCAACGAUUAUUUUCAUAAUCGAUUAAUUGUCCAAUUAUUUUUUUCAACUAAUCGGAUAAAAAAAAAUAAUCAAUAAUGAUUUCCUAUUCCUGUUUGUCCAAUUUUUAAGCAGCAGAACACAUUUUUAUAAUUAUGCAAAGCAAAACGACUAACUGUUUGAAAAGAGGUAGAACUAGAAAGAGGAAGACUAUCACUGUUUAUAACAUUCUGUUAUUCACUCUUUCAGAAACUUUGCAAUAAAAUGCAAAAAUGUCAGCAUGACCACAUGCACCUGGCUGAAGCUGGCUCUUUUUUGCAAGCUAUUUUGCCUGCUUCAGAGAAGCGCUCAGAUGGUGUUAAGGGGCCUGAGAUGCACAAGUAGGGGUUUGCCAAUUUCACCAAGGUGGGAUAUUUUAUCUUUGGCAAGGGGCCUCUCAACAAAGUAAGCCUGGACUUCAUUCUAACAUAAAAAUAUCUAUAUUCAAAGGUAAAUAAUCAGCUGUAAGGUUAGGGAAAAAAUCUGGUACAUAUUACAAUUUAUUAAAAAUAUAAAAAAAGAACAAUGAAGUCUAUAGGGAGAAGAAGUUAGUGCGGCCGCGAUAUUAGAAGUCCUGAUAUUAGUGCGCUUGGGAUUUUGCACUCACGCUAACAAUUUACUUUCAACUUGUAAUAAGCAUUAAGUUUACUUCAAGUUAUGUCUUGUAAUAUGGCCCAUAGUGUUUAAUUUGGUGUUUGGUUUUCUAUAUUUUUACUGUCAUACAGUAUCCCCGGUCAGCAAGGACCAUGCUAUAUUCAGCAUUUAAACCAUAUUGGCAUAUAACACAACAGUUUGCAGGAAAACAAUUCACUAACAAGCAAAGACUCACCCUUUCUAAAGCAACUGGAGGGAAAACCCACUCUGAAACCUACUUCUUCAGAUGAGCAAAAGGCUCCCUCACUAAAUUUGUUAUAAUAGAUUUUUCUAGUGAUUUGUUUACCUGCAGAAAUUAUCUGGAAUUUAUUUCAACAUCUUUUUUUUCUUGUAACAUUUGUUUGUACAAGGUUGAAUUCUGCUCCCAAUGACAAUACUGGGUUGCACUUAUGUGCACAUGCAUGCCAUUACACAGAGCGCCGCUGGCAUCCAAGGGCAUAGACUGGAGUGUUGCUUCUCUUCCAGGUGACCUCCUUCAUGCAAGCUACCAAACCAUUUAUUUGUAUUCAAGAUACGAAGAGGCCUUCUGGGUGAAAUUAUGUGUUUGGAGAGUCAACUACAAUAUAAUUAAAAAGGAGGAAACCCAUGUCACUGUGAGCCUUCUAGAGCUCCAAAGAAAUUAAAAGUUGAUAUUCCGAAUAGUGGAUGCAUCCCAGGAGCCAUAGCCAUUCUCCAAACAUUUUACUCCUCUACGUUGCCUAUAGUAUUUCCCCCCACUUCUUCCUAAUACCAUCUGAGCUAGAAGCGCCUACUCCAAAAAAGUUAUAGAUCAUCUUAAAUCAAUUAUUUAAGACAUUGAGGAGAGCGAGCAGAAGCAUACCGUAGGAGGGUAUCUCUUUCAUUAGACUUUCACAAUUUGUACAAAAAUUGCUCCAGCAUCUCCCAACAACCACACCACUUAUGAAGAAAUGCAUUACUCCUGCAAGCUACAAGGCCAUUGGUCCCUGAACAAAUUCAAACAGAUGUGACUUCAAUGGUCUACCAGCAAGUUCCUUUUAAUACCCUGCAACCUCCAUGUGUUUCUGAGAUAGCAAUUCCCUUAAUAGUUAAACUUUUCCCCCAUUAUUUAUACAUAUAAAUAACUAAUAUGACAAAUACUAUUUGUGUGAUUUUUUUUUUGCAUUUUUAGGAAAGACUAAUAACACAAGGGGUGGGGAAAUAAUGCUCUGAAUUUAUCAUUUGUAACAUGUAUUGCACAUAGACCACUUUAGUUAUAUUUCUAAGAUUGUUUGCCUGUAUUUAUUAUUUGAGUAGAUGGCACUUAAGCACUUCAAUGGAAAAGAUUGUUGAUGCAAAUAGCACUAAGACAUUGCUAUACAAAAUUAGUUUUAAUUAUGUGCACAGUUGAUGUAAAGUAAAGGGGCAUAAAAGUGCAAUUUUCUGA